rnacentral:rRNA from 1 species
UGGGGAAUAUUGCACAAUGGGCGAAAGCCUGAUGCAGCAACGCCGCGUGAGUGAUGAAGGCCUUCGGGUUGUAAAGCUCUGUCUUCUGGGACGAUAAUGACGGUACCAGAGGAGGAAGCCACGGCUAACUACGUGCCAGCAGCCGCGGUAAUACGUAGGUGGCAAGCGUUGUCCGGAUUUACUGGGCGUAAAGGAUGCGUAGGCGGAUACUUAAGUCAGAUGUGAAAAUCCCGGGCUUAACUUGGGAACUGCAUUUGAAACUGGGUAUCUAGAGCGCGGGAGAGGAAAGUGGAAUUCCUAGUGUAGCGGUGAAAUGCGUAGAGAUUAGGAAGAACACCAGUGGCGAAGGCGACUUUCUGGACCGUAACUGACGCUGAGGCAUGAAAGCGUGGGGAGCAAACA